AGCGAGAAGCGUUAACACCUGUUUCUGCAUUUGUUGGUCGUAACGGUACCAGUGCCUAGAACCCCGGGCCGUAACUGGGGGAACGCAAGCCAGCAGGACCUGCUGACGGAGUGGAUGUUCAGGCAUCAAACGGCGGAAUCGAGGACGAUGCCAGGAGUUCUGACGUAAACAGGCAGUAAAGAUGAAGCUGAAGGAAGACAGGCUGUUGAGGAGAAAAUCAAAGCUGGUUUGGGGUGGAGUGGAGCCCGACGCCUGCCCAACACACCGGACGAGAUGUUCGAGGGAAGCUGGCUGUGCAGCCGGGGCGGAGGACCCCCAGGAGGAGCCUCGUGAAGGGGAACGAGCGAGUGAACGCCGUCAGGGUCCGGUACCG